UCAUUUUGAAAAUUUUUCCUUUUUAUCUCUCACUCGUUCAUGUCUUCACUUAACGAUUUCCUUUACCCCUCUCAUUCGUUCACCUUUUACCAAAUCAUAGCAGGUUUCCGGCGUUCGCCUUUUCCGCUCAGUGUCCAUUCAGCCGUCGGUCCAACACCCGCAUCCCUGACCCUUCGUCUGUUCACCAGCGUUCACAGUAAUGUUCUCCCUUCAGGUUCACCAAUCCUUGUGGCUAAACUUUGUCUAAUUUUGCAGGAAACCCCAGAGCGUUUCCCCUAAGAAACUCCCGAAAUAAGUUUACCUACAAAUUUCCUCUCAUUCGAUUAUCGUCUUUCUGCUGCAUAGGUUGAUUUUCAGUGGUGUUAAUUGGAUUUCUUGUUGCUUCCUUCAUAAUGUGGAUGUUAGUUUCUCAUUUUACUAAUCGUUUUGAAAUUUAAUGAGGGGUGAUGAUUAUUUAGGUUAAGAAUUGUAACUUUAGUCCCUAUCAAUGAGUGGAGAGUUUUGCAUGUGUGACCCAAAUUUGAUUUCGCGAAUGUGAAAUUGCUUGAAUUCUAUACAUAAUGAAAACUAACGUUAUGCUUGCAUCAUAAAGCAAUAACCAACGUUAAAUUGUCAUUUGAGACUGCAGGUCUCAACCAUAGCUAAUUGAUGAAACCCCUAGUGCGAUUUCACUUUCAAGAGAAGUUGAGCCCACAAUUUUAGCAAUGGCCAAGAACUUUUAUUUUUAUAAAAGUUGCAAUAGACCUUGAAUUGUGUUCCGGGUCUCAUUGAUUUGCGAAUGGACUUUAGGGAGAUCUUAUUGUUGGUUGGUGUUUUGUGAUGUGAGGAAAAACGUUAGUUUUGUUGUUUUUAGAAAAUGGGUCAUUGGACAUCAGUGCAAUGAAAUCUCGUCUGUAUGAAAAAAAAAAACUAUGGCCUGUUUGAAUUACUUUUAAGGACUGUGGUCGAAUAGUUACAAUUAUGUGGAUUUGAACGUAUUCAGAAAAAAAUGGGGACUUAGGUGAAGGUUAAGACAAACCGAAAGGUACAAAUUUCGUUCUCCUACUUUCUCCCAAACUAAAUAGCACCAAUAAAGAACUCAGUUGAAUUUGAAUUUGGGAGGUAGCUCACGUUGCUGAUUGAAACUACACAAAAGAAAAGGGCAAGUACACAAUUCUUACCAUCUUUUGUCUGUUUUAUGUUGAAAUUUGGCCUUCAUCUUCUUUAGUUUUCUGUUGAUUCAAAAAUUUGAGGAGCGUGAUUUUGAUUUUGAAAGUGAUGGAAAUGAAGUUAAGGAACCAAAUGAUGAGCGUCUUCCAAAGAAGACGUAACCAUGAUGCAGACCUAAUAGCUUUUAGCAACUGUGGAUUAAUUUUGGUCGCCAAUGGUUCUAUUAUUGUUGUUGUUGUUGUUGUUACUAUUGUUGUUGUUGUUGUUAUUAUUAUUGUUGUGGGUUUUGAACUCUCGACCUUUUGAAUAGGUAGAUACACUUGACUCAGCAUAAAUUGGUGAUUCUGAUGGUUCCUUAGCUCAUCAUUCCUCUAUCAAAUUUUAGUAUUGAUUUUGCUGUUAAAAGUAUUUGUUCUUUUAGGACUUUCUUCAUGCUUUCUUCUUGUUUGACCUUGAUUGAUGUUUUUUGAAUGAAAUAUGAAAUAAAAAUAAUUUUCAAUGGUUUCUGGACGUGGAUCGUUGUUAGCAAAGUUUGUAAUCCUUUUCUUAUAUAAAAAGACUUUGUUGUCUAAGUCAUUGUUAAAAUACUUCUCAAUGGUUUCUACAUGGUUGUUAGCAUAUCAUAUAAUGAUGUCUUAUUUCUCUCUUUAUGGCUUGCAUCACUUUUUUUUGUCUAUGUAAAUAAAUAUUCCAGCAUGUCACUAUAUGAAAGGUGUUGAAUUAUUUGUUAUAUGCCUUCUCCUUUUCCUCAUUGGAUUGCCAGUUAAUGGAGAAAUAAUAGUGGUCUUCAUUGUUUGUUGAACUUUUUAUGUUUAUGAUGGUUAGCAAGAACAAGAAAGCCAUUUGCAAUGGCAGAAUCGGAAGCAAGGAAAGUUAAAUAUUCAAAUACUGGCACAGAAUCCUUUUCUAAUGGGGAUUAUAAUUGAGGGAUAGUAGCCUUCCAACUCUUUCGUUUAGUUGAAUGAACCUAUGUCCACAUUUGAUGACCAGACCACUUUCAAAAUGCGACUACUUCCUUUUUUUUAUGGAAUAGCGACUACUUUUUUCCAUGCCCCUUUCCAAAAUCAUUUCUUGAUAUCUUCCAUUGUCAUCUGAUCUGAUGUCUCUCAUGUUCAACUACAGAAUUCUCUUGGAAGACUUAUUUUUAUUAAGGAUUUUGACAUUGAAGCAUAUGUUUGUGUCAGCUCCUGUCAAGUGAUGACUGACGACUAUUGUGAUUGUGAGUAAGUAGGCUUUUGGGCCACUGGCUACAUGCUUCUUGAAUGUUUUUAUGCUCAACUGCUAAAAGUAUACUGUUUGAAAAAUAAUAUCACAUAAUAUUAGAAAAUACAAAACCCUAUAUCUAGGAGAGAAUUUGUGCCCAAUGAAUUUCUUUUGUCUUCUUAAAACAAAUCCUCUAGAGAGUAUUUGAGUUUUGAGAGUAAUUUUAUCUCAUAAUAGAACAAGUUAUCUUUCUUGUGAGAGGAACACCUUGUACAGUGUUCACAAAAUCUAACGAACCCAAGUUUGUGGAACAAAGAAAACUUCGACAAAUUUAUAAUGGGAAGAAAGUUUUAUGGAAGAAAAAUGUUUAUGAGAAAGGUUAAAAACCAAUUCGAAGAAAAAACAUAUUUAUAGAUUCAUGACAUUUGGAUAGUCUAUUCCUCAAGUUGGUUAAAAUUUGAAAUGGUGUCUAUUCAUAAAGGAACGUGCUACUCAUGGAGUUAAAAGGAUACAACCUUAUACGUAUAGUUGUGUACAAUUUAUUCCAAUGUAUACAAUAUACAUGGUGAAGUGGACCAACAAUUUUCAACCUUGUUAAAAAAAAGGAUUUAUGUGAAGGUUAAGACAAACUGAAAGGUAAAAGAUUCUUCUCCUACCCCUCUCUCAACCACUGAUAAAGAGCCUAGUUGAAUUUGAAUUUAAGAGCUAGCUCAUGUGAGCAACAAUAGAACGACUUUGAAUAUAUAAACUAUACAAGAGAAAAUGAUAAGUAUGCAUUGCUUUAAACUUCCCUUCUUUUCUAUGUUUAUGCUCAAAUCUUGUCUUCAUCUUUAGUUUUUUGUUUGUUGUUUCAAAUAUUUGGGGAAUGCGAUUUUGGUUUUGAAACUGAUGGAGAUGAAAUUAAGGAACCAAAUGAUGAGUGUUUUCCAAAGAAGACGCAACCAUGAUGUGAACCGAACAGCUUUUAGCUAUUGGGGAUUAAUUUUGGUCGAGGAUGGUUCUUUCUUUCUUUCUUUUAUUAUUAUUAUUAUUAUUUUUGUGGGUUUUGAACUCUCGUCCUUCUCAAUAGAUACACCUACUUGACUUGGCCAAAAUUGGUAAUUCUGAUGGUUCCUUAGUUCAUCAUUCCUCUAUGAAAUUUUAGUUUUGAUUUUAGAAGUAUUCGUUCUCUUAGGACUUCCAAAUCUAUCUUCAUACUUCAUUUUGAUUGACAUGGUUUGGAUGAAUUAGAAUAAUUUUCAAAGUUUCUGGAUGGUGGGGUGGUUAACAAAGUUUGUUGCAUGUUUUCUCAAUGUGCAACUGUGUUAAUUCUAAAAUUUGAAUUUGUAGUCGCAACUUAAACCAUACACAUUUUAAGUGAUGGAUAGUACAGUUAACAUGGAUGUGGACAAGACUUUUGUUCGAGAUUUGGACUACUGAAACACAACCGUGUUCUGGCUAUGAGUGAAAGAAAAGUUGAGGUACAAGCACUUAUACAUCAAAUUGUUGAAAUAGGAAAAUUGUUUUGAGGAUAGAAUUCAAACAGUGAAGUCAGAAGUGCGUAAACAAAUUAUUACCAGUUAUAUUUUUAAAGGGAGGGUGGCGCACAUCAAAAGUUGUGAGGACACAAAAGUAAGGCAUACCGGAGAAAGAAGAAGAAUAAAAAGAGAGGAAAAACAGAGAGAAAGAAAUGGGAAGAGAAAAAAAAUGAAAAAAAAAAAAAACCUGUUACCAAAGAAGAAAACUAGGAAGAAGUUGGAGAAGAAGAGAGGGGGAGAGUGGACAUUAUAAGAUAUUGUUGGUACAAUCUAUUGUCCAGAAGGGUGCGUUUUGGACUUUUCAUUUUAAAAGUAGCAUACUUUUUAAAAAAUCGUCAUAGUGUUUUUCUCGAGCCAUUCAGUCAAGUUUAAGUAAGAGAAUUAUUGGGAAAUUUGUGUGUCCAAAAUUCGUCCCUCGUUUAGUAGGUGAAUAUAGUGAAGUCUAUUUCGAAAUUAUUUCAGUUGUAAUUGAUUUCGUAAUAUAAAUAUUAAUUAUAUGUACAUUGUUAUGAAAUAGGAAAAAGUAAUGACUUGCUGAAAAGUUUUACAACUCCCAAUAACAUUUUUUCAAGUAUUUGGUUCUUUCCUUUCU